AGAACGAACGCUGGCGGCACGCCUAACACAUGCAAGUCGAGCGAGACCUUCGGGUUUAGCGGCGGACGGGUUAGUAACGCGUGGGAACGUACCCUUUUCUACGGAAUAGCCUCGGGAAACUGGGAGUAAUACCGUAUACGCCCUUUUGGGGAAAGAUUUAUCGGAGAAGGAUCGGCCCGCGUCUGAUUAGAUAGUUGGUGGGGUAAUGGCCUACCAAGUCUGCGAUCAGUAGCUGGUUGAGAGGAUGAUCAGCAACACUGGGACUGGAGACACGGCCCAGACUCCGUACGGGAGGCAGCAGUGGGGAAUCUUAGACAAGUGGGCGACAAGCCUGAGUCUAGCGAGUGCCGCGUGAGUGGAACGAAGG
rnacentral:rRNA from 1 species